rnacentral:tRNA from 1 species
GGGCGCGUAGCUCAGCGGUAGAGCACUGCCUUGACAUGGCAGGGGUCACAGGUUCAAUCCCUGUCGCGCCCACCA